UACCUCCAUAGUUUUGCACUAUUUAUGUUCAACGUUUGACCGUCCGUCUUAUUUGAAAAAUUUAUGAAAAAAUUAAAAACAUUUAGUCACACAUAAAGUACUAUUCAUGUUUUAUUAUCUAAUAGCAAUAAAAAUACUAAUCAUAAAAAAUUUUCAAAUAAGACGGACAGUCAAACGUUGAACAUGAAUAGUACAAAACUGCACUUAUU
rnacentral:pre_miRNA from 1 species